rnacentral:tRNA from 1 species
GUGCACUUAGCUCAGUGGCUAGAACACCCUUCUAGAGUUCUGGGUAAAAUAAGCUAUGGGUUGAAAUCCCAUAGUGCACA